GGGGCGGUGAUCUUUGCAGAGGUCCUCUGUGCCGUGAAGCGGAUGUUGGCCCGGGUCCUUGUCAUCAUCGCCAGCUUGGGAUACGGCAUCGUUAAGCCCCGGCUGGGCGCUCUCCUGAACCGCGUGGUGGGCGUCGGCCUGAUGUACCUGCUCUUCUCCAUCAUCGAGGGCGUCCUGCGGGUGAAAUCGGAGCAAACUAACUCGACCGCACUAAUCUGCGAAAUUGUCCUGGCCUUUGUGGACUCCUGUAUCGUCUGGUGGAU